CACGUAGGGUGCGAGCGUUGUCCGGAAUUAUUGGGCGUAAAGAGCUCGUAGGCGGUGUGUCGCGUCGGCCGUGAAAACCUGCAGCUUAACUGUGGGCGUGCGGUCGAUACGGGCAGACUAGAGUAUGGCAGGGGAGACUGGAAUUCCUGGUGUAGCGGUGAAAUGCGCAGAUAUCAGGAGGAACACCGGUGGCGAAGGCGGGUCUCUGGGCCAAAACUGACGCUGAGGAGCGAAAGCGUGGGGAGCGAACAGG
rnacentral:rRNA from 1 species